ensembl:lncRNA
CAAUUCCCCACAUCUGCAGAUGUUGUUUGUUGAUUUCACUGGUUUAUUUCACUGCUGUAGUUAUAGUCCUCUGCACUUCUCAAACAUCUUCCCGCCUCAGCCCACCAAACCGCGCCCGCAAGCGCGCGGUCUCAGUUCGAACCAGAUCGUGGUGCUGAUGAACAGCUCCUCCACAGUGAAGUGGAAACUACAGUCGGUAACAGGCAGUUGCAAAACGGUUUGGGAGGGGAAUGAAUCAACGAAUAACCUCAAAUUCAACGUUGAAAAAUAAGUGAAGGGUAUGACCAUUGCUACUCCCAGAAUGUCAGCGGUUUGCAGAAAAUCUGGAAACAUCGUUAAUCUUCACAGGUCAUCAUCACAAGGUUUCGGGUACUGUAGCUAAAGAUGCAGCUAUCAAACAUCGUAGCUGCAUUACUGUCACUGCUGGUCUGAAAUAGUCUGAAAAGCUUAGCAAAAAUGCAUUGAUGGUAACUUUUGUUAGGAGCGUUUCCCUUAUUCUCGCCCCACUUCACAACCGUCUCUUACUUCUGUUUAUGUGUGUAGGAAAAUAUGCAAAAACACAUGAAAAUUAAUAUUUGUUAGUCUAAAUAGGGAUGUUGCCGAUCUGCCUUGUUUUCGCGUAUGAUGCCGAUCUGCCUUGUUUUCAGUUCCGCUGUUGGGGCAAUGUAGGGGAGGGGCGAUCUAUCCCUGGGGUCUGGUCUUCGGGACGGGGUGGUGCUUUAGUGGUCUCAGUGGGGAGGACUUGCUUGACUGCAUGUCUAAUUUGUUCUAGUAAGCAAAGGGGCUGGACACAUUGUUCAUGCAUCAAACAUUUAUUCCUAGGUGGACAAGUUAGAGUACCACACAGCUUUUUCCCAUGCCAAUCAGAGCUUAGUCAACAAUGAUUGCUUAGUUCACUGGACCUGCUUGUUUCUAGCCUUCUCACUGUGUUUAUUUGGAGUUCACCUAGCGACAUUGUUGACAGGGAAGUUCAGAGGCUUACGUCAGGAGGAAUCAUUAUUCUGUGCUAAGCUGAAUUGAGGGAUAUUAUUUGUGGCAUGGUUACAUGGAUGUUUUCCUCUAAAAGGUUGGUGUUUUUUAUGAUUUCA